CAGAGAAUCAACACAUGUCAGUCAUGCAGAGUGUAAGGACCUGAUGGGGCUGUGGAAAAAAGAAGAAGCAGGGCGGGGUAAGAGGGAUCAGGUGUGCUGGGCAGGAUGGAUGAAGAUAUCGCAUCGAGUGGCCACGGUAGGCCUCAUAGAGCAGGUCCGGCUUCGGGGUGACCAGAUGGGCUAAUGACCCACCCCCAACCCCAUUAAGGCCUUGCCUUUGCUACCAGCUCGCUAAUCCCAGAUGCACUUUCCAGGGUGACCUUCUGCCCUGGAGACCACCCUGGAGUUGGCUCUGUUGUUUGGGGCACAGAAGAAAAGCUUCCAUCUCACGGAGAUGAAAGAGCGCAAAUUUGAUGGAGGUUUGGGGAAAGAGGAGGAAGCACGUGACUUGAGAAAAGGGUAUCCCGACCUCCUCAAGCUUGACUGAACAUUUCAGGGCCAACUCUGCCCAAGGGCCUACGAAGGGGCUCCAUCAGGAGCCAUGGACGCCAUAUGCAGAUUUCAUCAUGCACACGAAUGAGAGGAAAAUCCAGACACAACCCAAAGGGCUCACCCCUGACUGAGGUGAUUUUUUUUUUUUACUACAAUUCAGAAAAUUCCUCCUUCCUACAGUGUUCUCAGCUUAUUCCACAUUUAAAUGCAGCUGGAAAGGGA
rnacentral:lncRNA from 1 species